rnacentral:rRNA from 1 species
UUGGAGGGCAAGUCUGGUGCCAGCAGCCGCGGUAAUUCCAGCUCCAAUAGCGUAUAUUAAAGUUGUUGCAGUUAAAAAGCUCGUAGUUGAAUUUCGGGGUUCUACCGUUGGUCGGGCUUUGUCUGUACUGGCGUGUAGAAUUUCUACCUUCUGGGGAACUAUCAUGUUAUUAAUUUAGCGUGGUAGGAAACCAGGACCUUUACCUUGAAAAAAUUAGAGUGUUCAAAGCAGGCUUAUGUCUGAAUACAUUAGCAUGGAAUAAUAAAAUAGGACGGUGGUCCUGUUUUGUUGGUUUCUGAAUCACCGUAAUGAUUAAUAGGGAUAGUUGGGGGCAUUAGUAUUCAAUUGUCAGAGGUGAAAUUCUUGGAUUUAUUGAAGACUAACUACUGCGAAAGCAUUUGCCAAGGAUGUUUUCAUUAAUCAAGAACGAAAGUUAGGGGAUCGAAGACGAUCAGAUACCGUCGUAGUCUUAACCAUAAACUAUGCCGACUAGGGAUCGGACGAUGUUAACUUUUCUUGACUCGUUCGGCGCCUUACGGGAAAC